rnacentral:lncRNA from 1 species
AUGGGGAGGACAUUGGGGACCCCGCCCGGGCCGCUCGGGGGGAGGGGGGGGCGGGGACGUCACCUCGCCCUGCCCCCAUCCGGCCGCGCCACUUCCCGCGUGUUCCCCGAGUGUCCCCCGGGCCUGUCCCCCCUCCCCGCCAGCAUCUCCCGGAGUGUCCCCGCAGUGUCCCCGCGGCGUCCCCGGAGUGUCCCCAGCGGCCAUGGAGCCCCGCGAGGUGCGGCAAUCCCGGGGGACACGGGGGUGCGGCGGGGAGGGGACAGAGGCUGGAGGGGACCGAGGGGGGCAGAGGGGACCAGGGGUGACACAGGGACGGGGGACAGCAGAGCCCUCCAGGGAGGGGACAAAGGGGACCCUGGAAGGGCACUGGGGCCACGCCAGGAGGCCACAAGUGCCACCAGGUCCCUGCCACCUCCCCUGUCCCCUCCACAGCUGCUGGAGGCGCUGGUGGCCGUGGUGGCCGUCCUGGGUGAGGUGGCAGCCACUGUGGCCGGGCCCUACGGGGACGUGCUGCUGGCCGUGUCCCCACGGUCCCUGCACACGGCCCUGGGGACCUUCAUCAAUCACCUCCGGGACACCCUGGGCCACCAGGCUGUCCCCUCCCUGGGCCAGGCCCUGGCCGCCCUCGGGGCCACCCCAGGGGCCACCUGGGCCCAUGUGACAAGGGCGGCCAGCGCCUGGCGGGGCCCAGUGGCCAAGCUCAGGGACGGCUGGGACCGACUGGCCGGGGAGGCCAUCGAGCUCCGCGACGCCUGCAGGGCCGCGGCCACCAGGGAGGCCACCACAGCGGCCACCGCCACCACCCUGGCUGGGGAUCUGCAGGUCAAGGCCACACAGUGGGGGACAGCCAGGGACAACCUGGUGGCCGCGGCCCGGCCGGUGCUGCUGGCCCUGGACAAGGAGGAGGCGACCUCAGCGCUGGCUGCGCAUGAGGCCCGGGUGGCAGCGGCCACCAACAAGGUGGUGGCGGCCACCAAGGCCACGGAAGAGACCGGGGUGGCCACCAGCGAGGCUGGGGCAGCCAGCAGGAGGGGACAGCGGGCAGAGGUGGCCCUGGAGCUGCUGGAGCGCUUGGUGGCUGUGUGUGACAAAGCCACCACGUUCCCCCGGGAGCUGCAGCGCCGGCUCGGGGACAUCGAGGCCACCCUGAAGGGGACAAAUGAGAUGUCCCCCGAUGUCCCUGCGGCCUUGGUGGCCGCGGUGACCGAGGCUGAGCGGCUGUGGGAGGCCAGCGCCCGCCUGGCCACGUGUCACCUGCUGAGGACACUUGGGGACAUCCGCAGGCUCCUCUCAAGUUGCCAUGGUGGACCCGGUGGCCGCGCAGUGGCCGAGAAGUGCCAAAGAGCCAUCGAGGACAUCCCGAGACUACUGUGA